CCUACGGGGGGCAGCAGUGGGGAAUAUUGGACAAUGGGGGAACCCUGAUCCAGCCAUGCCGCGUGUGUGAAGAAGGCCCUCGGGUUGUAAAGCACUUUCAGUGAGGAAGAACGCCUGGUGGUUAAUACCCAUCAGGAAAGACAUCACUCACAGAAGAAGCACCGGCUAACUCCGUGCCAGCAGCCGCGGUAAUACGGAGGGUGCGAGCGUUAAUCGGAAUUACUGGGCGUAAAGCGCGCGUAGGUGGCUUGAUAAGCCGGUUGUGAAAGCCCCGGGCUCAACCUGGGAACGGCAUCCGGAACUGUCAAGCUAGAGUGCAGGAGAGGAAGGUAGAAUUCCCGGUGUAGCGGUGAAAUGCGUAGAGAUCGGGAGGAAUACCAGUGGCGAAGGCGGCCUUCUGGACUGACACUGACACUGAGGUGCGAAAGCGUGGGUAGCAAACAGGAUUAGAUACCCGGGUAGUC
rnacentral:rRNA from 1 species